AUAGAAAUAAAUAAAUAAAUAAAUAAAUAAAUAACAAAAAAUCAACACUUCCUCUUUACAUUAUAUUGUAAUGUAACUUUCCUUAAAAAAAAAAAAAAAAAAAAAAAUUUCACUAGGUACUAAUGGUGAUCCAAUUACUUUCCUUACAUUUUGGCUGGAGAGAGAGAGAGAGAGAGAGAGAGAGAGAGAGAGAGAGAGAGAGAGAGAGAGAGAGAGAGAGAGAGAGAGAGAGAGAGAGAGAGAGAGAGAGAGAGAAAAUACCCAAUUUGCUUUUUUUUUUUUAUGUAGGAAGGACACUGGCCAAGGGCAACAAAAAUCCAAUAAAAAAAAUGCCCACUGAAAUGCCAGUCCCAUAAAAGGGUCAAAGCAGUGGUCAAAAAUUGAUGAAUAAGUGUCUUGAAACCUCCCUCUUGAAGGAAUUCAAGUCAUAGGAAGGUGGAAAUACAAAAGCAGGCAGGGAGUUCCAGAGUUUACCAGAAAGGGAUGAAUGAUUGAGAAUACUGGUUAACUCUUGUGUUAGAGAGGUGGACAGAAUAGGGGUGAGAUGCAGCCUUGAUGGAACCCAUACUGGCGAUCAGAUAGAAGGUUGUGAAGUGAUAGAUGUUUAAGAAUCUUCCUGUUGAGGAUAGACUCAAAAACUUUAGAUAGGCAGGAAAUUAAAGCAAUAGGACGGUAGUUUGAGGGAUUAGAACGGUCACCCUUUUUAGGAACAGGUUGAAUGUAGGCAAACUUCCAGCAAGAAGGAAAGGUAGAUGUUGACAGACAGAGCUGAAAGAGUUUGACUAGGCAAGGUGCAAGCACGGAGGCACAGUUUUGGAGAAUAAUAGGAGGGACCCCAUCAGGUCCAUAAGCCUUCCGAGGGUUUAGGCCAGCGAGGGCAUGGAAAACAUCACUACAAAGAAUUUUAAUAGGUGGCAUGAAGUAGUCAGAGGGUGGAGGAGAGGAAGGAACAAGCCCAGAAUCGUCCAAGGUAGAGUUUUUAGCAAAGGUUUGAGCAAAGAGUUCAGCUUUAGAAAUAGAUGUGAUAGCAGUGGUGCCAUCUGGUUGAAGUAGAGGAGGAAAAGAAGAAGAAGCAAAGUUAUUGGAGAUAUUUUUGGCUAGAUGCCAGAAAUCACGAGGGGAGUUAGAUCUUGAAAGGUUUUGACAUUUUCUGUUAAUGAAGGAGUUUUUGGCUAGUUGGAGAACAGACUUGGCAUGGUUCCGGGCAGAAAUAUAAAGUGCAUGAGAUUCUGGUGAUGGAAGGCUUAAGUACCUUUUGUGGGCCAUCUCUCUAUCAUGUAUAGCACGAGAACAAGCUGUGUUAAACCAAGGUUUAGAAGGUUUAGGAUGAGAAAAAGAGUGAGGAAUGUACGCCGUAAGGCAAGAUGGUGGAGUAGCUUUGUCCAGUCACUGUUUGAGUCAUCAGUCACAUUAGAGGAAGAGUCCAGUGCCGAAGAUGUAAGGAAAACAGUUGUACACUUGGAAAUGGCUCAGCGGCAUCUGUCUGCCAUGUUUGGAAUUCCCUGCCCUCAUGAAGUGAAUAAUGGCAGUGGCAGUCACUCCCCAAGAAGUCAUCUGGAUGCCUCAUCCCAUCACCUCUACCAUAGUCAGAAUCAACAACUGGACUCCUGUGUUCCAGAGCAUGUGGAAACCUCAGAGGGACCUGUGCUGACAGCACAUGGUAAGUGAUGUCAUUGAUGCCAUACAAUUAAAUAAGUCCUGUAAUAUUAAAAAUUUAUUAACUUCUUAAAAUACUGAAUUUAGAGCAGAUGUAACAGAGGUGAAAGUAGCAAGCUAAGCGAUGGCUUUGCUAGUUGGAACAUCAACAGUAAUAGCAGUUGCAUUAGUGACACUAGCAAUGCUAAAAAAUAAUGAGUACAUCACCAGUAGUGGUAAUAAUUGACAGAAGUGGUAGUCAUGGUUACAGGAGGAACAGGGAAAGUGAUGGUUGAUUGUAACAAGUGUGGUAGUAGUUGUAUUGAUGGUAGUGGUAGUUAUGAAAAUAGCAUUGAUAGUGGUGUUAUAGUAAUAACAACAACAGUAUUAUUUAUUGAAAUAAUAGGAAUUAAUAGUGACAGUAGUAGAUGUUUUCGUGUUCUAGACAUUUAUGUGUCACAGGUCAGCAUCAGCUGCGCUAUGGUCUUCGUCACCGUGACCUCAAGUAUGAGGGUGACCCAGACUUGCAUCCCAUUGGCAGCAUGGAGGUGGCCUUCCUGGUGCGCUGGGUGUAUGCUUUGUGUCUCAUCCUCAACACCAAGGUAAGGGGAAGAGAGAGAGAGAGAGAGAGAGAGAGAGAGAGAGAGAGAGAGAGAGAGAGAGAGAGAGAGAGAGAGAGAGAGAGAGAGAGAGAGAGAGAGAGAGAGAGAGAGAGAGAGAGAGAGAAAGAGAGAGAGAAAGAGAGAGAGAGAGAGAGAGAGAGAGAGAGAGAGAGAGA